rnacentral:snRNA from 1 species
AAGUGGCAUCUGUCCUUUGCUUAGAAAAGAGCAUGAUUACAGAGCAGAUUAGCAUGGCUCCUGUCAAGGAUGACACAAAAAUUAGUGAAGCAUUCCAUAUUUUU